GGGUUCCAGCUCGGCACCAGAUCGAUCGCAUUACUAUUUUUUGGUAGGGUUUUUUACCACUUCAAAUUGCAUUAUUUUUCAAACUUUCAAGCAAUCUUUUCGUGCAACGCCCUGCAUCGUCCACCCAGUGAGGCAGAGACCAUUACACAGGGUCAGCUCUACCUGGUGGCAUGGUGCUACUGCUAAUCGAGGAUUCGAGGUAGUAGUAAGCAGAGUGAUUAGUUACCUGAAGAGUGAGACCUGGGCAAGAUUAGAAGGCCACCAUAUCUCGGCAUAUUUUUCAGUUCUUCAAUUCAGUAUUUGAUACAAAACACAUCUAUUAACUCCAGUAAGGAUAAUACCACUUUAGAAAGGUCACUUCUGUCUAGAUUUUCUGUAUAAAGAUCAUUAUACUAGGCUGAAUUCACCAACUAUUCGAAACGACAGGGUUGUAGAGCACGGUUUGACUUUUCAAAAUCUAAUCCACCUAACAAAAUUUCUGUGCAAUUAUAGGCUGUCUUUAGUUUUCUGGUUUUACAUUGAUGAACAACCCCAGAGUCUUGAAUAACUAAUGUGCAUACCCAAUAUGUAGUAGGGGGACCAAGAGUAUAAUUAUUUUUUUUAUUUUGCAUGAGUUCUUAUGAAGUACACACCACAUGAGUACAUAACAUAAGGUGAACAAUAUUCAUCUGUAGUUUUGCCACCAUUGUCGACAACACCCAAGGGGAUUUCCCUUUUACAUUCAGAAGGCAAUGCCGAUACAAAAUCUGUAAUUUUGGUCAGUAGAAAGAGUACAUGUUGCCAGGUUGAUUUUAUAAGGUUAGACCGUUAGAGUAAAAGUGUUACAGGGUCAUGGGCAUUGCUUCUGAAUAUAACCAAACUGUCAGCUCUUAUUAUCCUUUUGUUGCAAGGGAGCUUGGAGCAUAUCACCCCUCGUUUAUGCAUUCAUCUAAUUAAAUUCAUGUAUUUUUUUCCCCCCUAAGAAGCUUCAUGGAUAGCAGUUUUUGCUUCGCUUUGUUCAGCUUGCUCUGCCUCAAGCUUCCUCAAAGCAGACGAACUCAGUUUCUCCCCUUCCACACCUCCAGAAAGUAGAUCGACGACCUCAACCUGAAAUUUAGGUCAUCCACAUUUGUAUCUGUUACAUAGUCCAUCGAGUAGUAGACUGAUAUCAAUUAAAGGAAAUAUAAAAGCAAGCGCUAAUACACCUUCAACAGUGGCAACCCUUUCUCUUCUCUUUUUCUAUUUACAGCAAGUCCACCAUUUAGUAACUAAUCCACAUAUUCGUCUGUGCACCAGCGCUAAUCCACAUAUUCAUAAUGUAUAUUUCAAAUUCAUAAUGUUAGUACUGAUGAUAUAUAUUUCAAAUUAUACUGCUGCUUCUCCAAAUGAUGUUGUUUCUUUUUUCUCAUCUAAAUAUGUAAGAACCUGUGAGCUUUUUCUUUUUUUUAGACCAUAUGCAUUUGAGUAACAUAGUUUACUUGCCUUACCAUAUACAUGCAUAUAGAUAAUGGAAUCUUGGGAGGAUGAAGUUAGGAGAUUCAUGCUAGAGGAGGAAGAAAAGGAUGACGAACUAUUCCUAGUUAUGGUUCCCGCUCUUCAGCAGUGUUUAUAUGAGGAGAAAAGGUCGGAGCAUACCUCAACUCUGCCUGGUGCUGAAAAGGUCAUACAAAUCUUGGAAGGCCACGAAAAUUGGUGCAAAGUGGAGUUCAGAAUGGAGCCUGAGAUAUUUAGAGUUAUAGCAAAUUAUCUUAGAGUGGAGAACUUAUUACGUGACACCCGUGGUGUAAGAGUUGAGGAGCAGCUAGGAAUGUUUAUGUUCAUGCUCUCUCAUAAUGCAAGCACCGAUAGGCUAAAAAAGGAAUUUCGACAUAGUGGUGAGACAAUUCAUAGGAAAAUAAUAGAGUUCUUCGAUAUAAUUCUAGCAUUGACUCGUAGAUUCUUGAAGCUCCCAAAUGUGAGUCAUACACAUGUGAAGAUUGCAUCAGACUCUCGCUUUAUGCCUUUCUUCCAGAACUGCAUUGGGGCCAUUGAUGGCACUCAUGUUCCUAUCACCAUUGCACAAGAAAGAGCCGCUCCCUACAGAAAUAGGAAGGGAACCUUGUCACAGAACGUCAUGUGUGUAUGUGACUUUGAUUUAAAUUUCACUUUUAUCUCAUGUGGUUGGGAAGGAUCUGCAUCCGAUGCAGGGGUCUUACGGUCUGCACGUGCGAAGGGUUUUCAUGUGCCUGUGGGGAAGUUCUACCUUGUAGAUGGUGGAUACGCAAAUACUUUCUCAUUCAUUGCUCCAUACUGAGGAGUUAGAUAUCACCUGAGUGAGUUUAGGAGACAUGGAAAUCAGUAUGCAAAUUACAAAGAAUUGUUCAACCAUCAGCAUGCACAGCUACGCAAUCAUAUUGAAAGGGCCUUUGGUGUGCUAAAAAAGCGGUUUCCAAUCCUGAAAGUUGGGAUAUUUCAUCCAAUAGAGAAUCAAAUUAAAAUUCCAGCGACAGUUGCAAUAUUUCAUAAUCUCAUUAGAGGGCUAAAUGGGGAUGAAGGGUGGCUAGAUCACCAACCAAAUAAUAUCAACCCAUCUGAUUAUGUUGAGUUGCCAGAGGGGGAUAACAACUAUCCAAAUGAACUGCAAUCAAAUGAAGGAAGCACCCUACGAGACCAAAUUGCUCUUCAGAUGUGGGCUGCCCGUAAUAAUUAGGUGAAGCAUAAAUGUUUUCAUGACAGCUUGUAUUGUUUUUUUACUUCAUUGCUUAUUUCUGUAUUAUUUUUAUGACAACCUUUAUCUAAUCUUGUUUAUUUUUUUGCAGCCAUGUCAACGGAAAGAGCUACGUGGAGCUACACGUAUGAGAAGGGACUUGUGGAUAUUCUGAAAGAGCUUGUCAACGUCAUAAUGUUUAAGGGACAAAAUGGGUGGACUGCUGAAGGUUGGAGGAAUAUCACAAACAAAUUCAAUGAUAUGUUUCCAACGACACAUUUCACGAAGCAACAAGUGUAAGAAAAGGAGAAAGAGCUAAAAGGAAACUAUAAGAUAAUAAAAGAAGCGAGGAAAAGUGGUGUUGGUUGGAAUGACACUUUGGGUAUGAUCAUUGCAGAACCAAAAGGAUGGGAAAAGCUGAUUAAGGUUAGGUCUCUCAAAUGGAGAAUCAACUUUAUAUAACAACCCUUUAUAUAAUAGCUAACCUUUAUACAAACCAUCUAAUCAUAUUUUUUUUGUUGUACUUCAAUAGGAUAACCACAAAGUUGCCAAGUUCCGUAAGAAGCCAUUUCCUUUAUUUAAUAGCUUGGAAUUAUUGUAUGAAGGUAAUGCUUUCAUCUUGUUGUUCAUUGCCUCUGUUCUUGUUUUAGUGCUGUGGUGUGGAUGGUGCUUUAGAGAAUCACUUCAUUGUAGAUCAUGUUCCUAGUUUGAACUCUCGCUAUUGUAGAUGCUAAGAUGUUGAUAUUGUUACCUUGAUUAUUUGUUUAAUAGGAAGUGUGGCCACAGGGGAUUUAAAUUUUACAUCAAUUCAGCCACCACCACAAAGAACUGAACCCACUCCCCAUAACAGUGAGCUGCCAACUGAACCCAGUCCCCAGACAAGUAUCUCAGAGCAAAGCAAUCAUAGCAUGGCAUCUAUUGAUAGAAAUCCACUCAGUUUUGGACUUGGUGGUGUAGAAAGCAUAGAAGUUCAAUCUGCUCCAGCUAGUCGUAAUUCAGAGGACCAAGAUGUUACCGGUGGAAAGAAACGCAAACAAAGUCAGAUGGCUGCAAAACUUGGGGAUUACAUUGACUUUAGAAAGGAUCAAAUUGGAAAAACUCUAGAAAAGUUAGAAGAGAAGAGAAGACGUGAAGAAGACUACUCAAUUGAGAAAUGUAUUGACAUUGUGGAUGCCAUGGAAGGGCUAUCGGAUGAAAAAAAAAGCUGAUGCAAAUGAAGUUUUCCAAAGUGAAACAAACAGAAAAAUAUUAGUAGGCACAAAAAACCCAAAUGUCCGGCUGAUUUGGUCGAAGAAAAAGAUUGCUCAGGUACGUUCCCUUUCCCUUUGCUCAGGUGUGUUUGUUGGAUUAAGCUAUUUGAGUCUGAUAAGUUAAUCUGGUCUUUCAUCAACAAAUUUCAUAUAUGCAUGUUUCAUGGCUUAGUAAAUAUGCUCCACUUAUGCUUAGUUCUUUAUACAGACUGGUGCUUCCUAAUUAUUAUUUUAUUGUUUAUUUUUUAGAAUCAGUGAGUGUUGACUAGAAGAUGGUGGUUUCGUUGUCUUAAUCUCUUGGAUAAUGGUGGAUAAUGGUGGUUUCGUCAACUGGAAGGGGUGAUGAGAUGCUAGAAUUUCUUAUAUAGCAAAUACUCGCUGGAUCUACUUGAUAUUUAAAUUAAACUUUGCAUGUAAUAUAUAUGGAUGUAUAUUAGAGGCCCUGCUAAAAUCACGAGGGCGCCCUGGCCAGACCUCACACCCUCUUAUUCCACUCAUCAGGUGGUUUCGUUCUGGCUAUUUUGUUGUGCGGUUCCGGCUAGUGUGCUCCCCUCGAGUAGUACAACUGCUGCUAAAUCCGAUAACAAAAAAGGAUCGUCACUUGAUGAUGUUGUCGCAGGGACCAUUGCAUGCAUGCAAUUUUGCGCAAUGCAAAUGUCCUACACAGCUAUGACACACUGUUUGUAUUUUGUAUUUUUUAUGAAAUUAUUCCCUCCCGCUGUGCUGUGGAAAGGGGAAGGGGCAGCCCUGCCAUGCGUCAGGUUCUUCAAAUAGCACUGCUGGAAAGGGGGCAGCACUGCCACUGGAGGAGGGGGAUUUCAAAAUCCAAAAUAAAUACCCCGUAGGGUCAUUCUUCCCAGGGUUAAUUAACCUGAGCUUCCAAAGUGACCCUAAAGAUAUGAUUAUAUCUACAAAUCGAGUUUUUAAGCAACAACGCAAAUAAAACACUCUCGUGUCAUUGCUCUAAAGGGGGAGAAAGGAAUAACAGAAACAACGCCGUGCCAUUCCUAAGAAACAAAGAACAACUGUAAAAAGUGGUUCUAGAUGAAGCUAAAUUGACCAUCGAUGGCGAUUGUGUCGACACGGCAAACAUCUAGACAGCUAGCAUUGACUGACUUGGCCUGUUCAGUACUCCAGCGAACUCGAUAGGUCUUAUGACAAGCCUUGAUUGACUCGAAUUAUUGACCUUCACUGUCCUUCGUCAUUGCUCUCUAACCUAGGUACUCGGUUAUGAACAGCGCGCCGGCUAAGUGAGUACUUGGUGAAGGCGAGCGCAACGAGCCCUAGCACAUGGCAUCCAUCGAAAACUACAGAAUUGUCAGAGUAUGGAAUUUUCAGUGCGCGGUGUGACCGACACUAUCUUUAUAUGAUUAUAUCUGCAAACUGAGUUUUUAAGUAACAACGCAAAUAAAACACUCUCGUGUCAUUGCUCUAAAGGGGGGGAGAAAGAAAUAACAGAAACAACGCCGUGCCAUUCCCCAGAAACAAAGAACAAUGGUAAAAAGUGGUUCUUGAUGAAGCUAAAUUGUCCAUCGAUGGCGAUCGAAUGGGAAACCGCACCCGGAGAGAUGUCGUCUUGAACACUCUCGAUUGUGUCGACACGGCAAACAUCCAGACAGCUAGCAUUGACUGACUUGGCUGAUACAUCCACUUCACUGUUGAGUACUCCAGGGAACUCAAUAGGUCUUAUGACAAGUCUCGAUUGACUCGAAUUAUUGACCUUAGACAGUGACAGUCACUCGAAUUAUUGACCUUAAACAGUGACAGUCACGCAUACCUUGAUUUUUUCCUCCCCUUUCCUGUUGUCGUGCGGUCCAGAUGCCCAUUACCCAGUGCCUAUCAGUGUGUGCUUCUCCUUCCGAUUGCACAUACGUGCGGAUCCCACAUGUCAGCCCCUUCCAUCCUCUUUACUUUAUAAUCUCCAGAGCAUGGGCCGCCCUUUUUGUUACCUGUAUGACUGUAUCACCUCCCCUGCCGAUGAGUGCCCAUGCAUGCCGAUACUUUGGUACCAUCUGCUCCAACCAAGCACCACCUCUCAUGCAAGUCAACAUAUAUGGCAUUUGAUAUCAAUUCUGUAAAUACAAUUUCAAUCAUUCACUGGUUAUAUUUUUAAAUGAAUUUAAUAUAAAUUUUGAUUAUCUAUUGCUUCUAAAUUCCUGUCGAAAUUAAUUUGAUAUUUUUAUUAACCUAUAAUAUCCUAUACCUCAUUUUAUGAGGAAUCUAUCAGAAAAUGAAUUGUAAUUUUUAUGGCUCAUAUCUAUAUAUUUGCUCUCUUUAUUAGAUAUUUUGCUUUCCAAUUGUAUGUAAAUCAAACUUUUAUUUUAUUUUUAUCAUUCGGAGUUUUAGUUUUUUAUUACUUCCAUGUCAAGAUGAUAUUUUGGCCCCAGUUCGCUGAAUCUUCCUCUCGAGUCAGCGACCGGAAUGUGUGGUUCAGAGCAACCAGAGAACAGAAUAUCUACACAUGAUUGAUUGGAAUUUGGAAACUGCAAACCAGUAGCGCAAUGGCUCCUGCCAAGGAUCGCCUCCACAACCUUCUGGUCCUGCUCUUGUUCAUAGGUUGCCUCUUCGUAGAUGCUGCCGCCAAGCUUAACACCACAGCGCCUUGCCUCCCGGAUCAAGCUUCUUCCCUCCUCCGGCUAAAAGCUUCCUUCAACGGUGACAACCUACCAUCAUGGCAAGCUGCAACAGAUUGUUGCCACUGGGAGGGCGUCACCUGCGACAUGGCCUUUGGAAGAGUCAUUUCUCUUGACCUCAGUGAGUUCGACCUAAUGAGCAUGCGUCUUGAUCCUGUGCUCUUCAACCUUACCUCUCUCAGGAACCUCAGCCUUGCAUAUGUUGACUUCAGUGGAGUCUCGCUCCCGGCUUUUGGGUUUGAGCGGCUCACGGAUAUCAUUUACCUCAACCUCUCUGAUACCGGUUUUACGGGUAAGAUCCCAAUUGGAAUUGCGUGCCUCAAGAACCUUGUGACCAUUGACUUGUCUGGUAAUUACAACUUGUAUUUUGAACGGCCAAGUUUCCUAACCAUCAUGGCAAAUAUGAGCAAUCUGAGGAAGCUUUAUCUUGAUAAAGUGGAUUUACAGAACAUCGGAUCGGAUUGGUCCACUGUUUUAGCAGACUCCGUUCCCCAGCUACAGAUUCUUAGCUUGUCCGGGUGUCUUAUAUCAGGUUCUAUCCACCCUUCAUUCUCAAGUUUGAGGACGCUUGAUUUGUCCUGUAACCCCAUGCUUUCUGUGAGAUUAACAUAUUUCCCAGCUGGAAACAAUUUGGAAGUACUAAAUCUGGCAGGGACCAAUUUCUCUUAUGACACGCCAUCCUCGUUUGGCAAUCUUGGGUCUUUGAAGAAAUUGAUGCUUAGCACGAUGGGAAUUGAUAAUGAACUCGCCUCUUUGAUAUCCGAGCUUCCAGCAUUGGAUGACCUGCAACUCACUGGAUCAGAUUUGGAGAAACCGGUAUUAUCUUGGGUCAGCAAUCUUACCCAAUUGACAAACCUGUUGCUUGAUGGUUAUGACUUCUCUAAAUCGGUUCCCACUUGGAUCGGCAGAUUGACAAGGCUGGAAAGUUUGUCAAUAUGGGAUUGCAGUUUCUCCGUGCCAAUACCAUACCAGAUUAGAAAUCUUACUAAAUUGGCAGCACUGGAGUUCUACAUUUGCGACUUCUCUGAGCAAACAAUGCCAUCAUGGAUAGGCAAUCUUACAAAGUUGACUUCUUUGAGCAUUUAUUAUUGCAGUUUAUCUGGGCCAAUACCCUCAACAAUUGGGAACCUGAUCCAACUUGAAGAGUUGGUGUUCUGGGAUACUGACAUCAGCGGUGAGACUAUGUCCCAGUUACUUUGUUUCUAGAUAUCUCGUUUCAUUUUGCAACUGUAGACAGAUUAUACACCUACUAUAUGACACGCCAUGCAUACACCGUUAAAAAAAAAUAAUGAAUGUAAGUGAAGAAGAAAAUUUAACACUACCAAAUCACCAGAGUGACCUUCAGAAAACAAGAAAAAGGCUUUGGCUAGUAAUUUUCAGCAAUGUUGAGAAAAGAAAAACCCUGAUAUUUUCACUUUGAGUCUAUGACCAAAUUUCCAUAGUUUAGCAGUUUGGAAGGUUAGAUGCCUUUAACACUAGUACACACGAGUCACGACUCAGGUCUUCUUUUCCUUCUUUUUGUUUCUCUCUUGACAUGAUACAUUUCAGAUACCAUAAUACAGUAUUGGUCUGUUGACAAAUAUACCAAGGAAUAUUAAUUUUUUUGGACAGGCCUUUUUUUAUUAUUUUGACCAGAUUUACAUGUAAAUGUUCUCUAACGAGAAAUCAACUUUAGAAUAUAUCAUUUGUAGAUCGAAACACUGGAUCUGUAAAAUAUAUAUUGAAUAUGUUGUGUUAACAUUAUUCGGCUUUCUCCGGUCUAAGGCCUCUUUGAAACAAAGGAACAACAAAAGGAAGGACUAGUUUUUUGAGCAUGGUCUCUCUCCCUCUCCCUCUCUCUCAAACCUGAGUGUGGUCUGGAUUUUCUAUUUGUUAUGAUUUGUGAAGGAAGAGGACCCUUUCUUGUGGAAUUGGAAUUGGAGGGUGCAUUCCAAAAUUUCAAAAUUCAAACGGUUCUUUCCUUUCCUCCAGAACGCAGUUACUUUUGUGUCCUUACCCCCUCAGUGUCGUUGCUUCUUUAGGCCAGUCUCAAUGCACAAUUUCAUUGCAAUGUUACCAAAAUUAAAAAAUUUGGUAACUGUGCAUGUUGGGUUUCAUGGGGAUGAAACUCCUCUCUCAUUUCAUGAAACUCCAUCCUCUCUCUCCUCGUAAAGACCUUGACAAAUCAGCAAAAUUGCUGAUGUGGUAUAGAAAUUUAUACUGACAAAACUUUUUAUAAAACUCCCAUUGAGACUGGCCUUAGAUUGCAGCAACAUUCGGAUAUGUUUAGCUCCAAUGUAAUGAGAUGCUAAUUUGGUUCAAUUUCAUACUAGCGCUUUCAGUGUGAAGAAGCAUUAAUAAAGUCUACAACAUUCUAACUGUUGGUAUUCUACCCUAACAUGCAGGAAAAAUUCCGAAGUCUUUGUUCGCUCUUCCAGUCCUGCAGCAGCUUCGUCUAGUUAGGAAUCAGCUUGUUGGCUCACUAGAAGACAUUCCUGCUCCUUUAUCGUCACCAAUGCGGGAGAUGGAUUUAAGAGGUAAUCAAUUGACAGGCCCAAUACCAAAAUCACUUUUUCAGCUCACGAAACUUGAGCGUCUUCAUCUAGCUAGGAAUCAGCUUGUUGGCUCAAUAGAAGACAUUCCUGCUCCUUUAUCGUCACUAUUGUUGGAGAUCGAUUUAAGGGGUAACCAAUUGACAGGCCCAAUACCAAAAUCACUUUUUCAGCUCACAAAUCUUGAGUAUCUCGAUCUUGGCUCGAAUAAAUUGACAGGCACAAUAGAACUUGGCUCUAUAUGGAGGUUGAAAAAUCUCAUUGAUCUCGACCUGGGUAACAAUAUGAUAUCACUCGUAGAAAAAGAAGGUGAUACGAUAUUCUCUUAUUCCCUUAAAAUCCGGACCUUAUACCUUGCAUCUUGCAACCUUACAAAAUUUCCGGAAUCAUUAAAAUAUCUUGACACUAUUCAAAGGCUCGACCUUUCCAAUAACCAAAUUGAAGGGGCCAUACCAAGUUGGUUGUGGGAGAAACCCCUGGUUAGGUUGAACCUCUCACACAACAUGUUUACUACUUUAGAGAGGUCUCCUACUUUUCAGAUGACAGAUUUAGAUUCUCUUGAUCUCAGUUUUAAUAGAAUUCAAGGAAGCAUACCAAUACCAUCAACUCCAUCUUACCUAGUUCUGUUGGAUUACUCAAAUAAUGACUUCUCUACCAUGGAACCUAACUUUGGCAGGUAUCUUAGAAAUGCCAUCUACAUCAAUUUGUCAAAAAAUAAAUUAAGUGGCCAUGUACCACUUUCAUUUUGUAGUUUAAACCAACUUAAGCUCAUGGACUUAUCUUACAAUAACUUUAGUGGACCAAUUCCAUCAUGUCUUAUGGAAAGAGUUGACCUGAGCAUAUUGAAGUUAAGAGGAAACAAAUUACAUGGCGUGCUACCUGAAAAUAUCAGAGAAGGAUGUAAGCUUCAGACAAUUGAUUUCAAUGAAAAUCAAAUUGAAGGUGCGCUACCUAGAUCACUAGCAAAAUGCCAAGACUUAGAGGUUCUUGAUGUUGGCAGUAAUCAUAUUGUAGAUUCAUUUCCAUCAUGGAUGGGUACUCUUCCAAAGCUUCAAAUUCUUGUGUUGAGAUCUAACAAACUCUAUGGCACUAUAAGGGAUCUUCGCAGGGGCUACCAACACUUUACAAGUUUGCAAAUAGUUGAUUUGGCCUCCAACCAUUUCUCUGGUGACUUACAUUCCGAAUGGUUUGAGAAUUUUAUUUCAAUGAUGAAUAACAGCAAUGAUGAGGGGCAGAUAUUAGAGCACCAUCCAACUGCAGCAAUGGCACGAUUGUAUCAAGAUACUGUCACUAUCACAUUCAAAGAUGCUGUUUUAAGCAUCACCAAAAUCCUUCGUGCUUUCAAAGUAAUUGAUUUGUCAAAUAACUCAUUUGAGGGUUCCAUUCCAAGUUCAAUUGGAAGACUUGCUUCACUUCACGGACUUAACAUGUCGCACAAUAACUUCACGGGAGAAAUUCCAUCACAACUUGGGAAGUUAACAAGGUUGGAAUCAAUGGAUCUCUCUUGCAACCAUCUCUCGGAAGAAAUUCCACAGGAGUUUACCUCUCUAACUUCUCUUUCCUGGUUGAACCUUUCGUACAACAACUUGACAGGAAGAAUACCGCAGGGAAACCAAUUCUUGUCAUUUCCCAGCAGUUCGUUUGAAGGCAAUGCUGGCCUAUGUGGAAUUCAGCUUUCCAAGGAAUGUGACCCUCAUCCAGAUUCAACCACCCCAAGCACAUUGGCUCCAGAACACAAUGCUUUGUGGCAGGAUAGACUCGACGCCAUCAUUUUGUUCCUCUGUGCUGGCUUGGGCUUUGGCGUGGGUUUUGCAUUGGCAAUCAUAUUCGGUCCCUUUUACCACAUAGAAGAAUGGCUUUGCAAGCAUUUGUAAUAGUAAUAUAAGUUUUCAACAAGAAUAAUUAUGUAUGUUUGUGCUGUACUCGUUAUUAGAUGAGACAACUUAAAUCCACUCAGUUGUAAUUACGUUGUAACUAGUCCACCAACCCGUACUUCCACAUGGGCCAAUAUUUUUAAAAACUGUUGUAUUUGAAAAUUAUUUAGAAAUUAAACUCCAAGCUAAUAAUAAAAAGGGUUUACUUAUUACUCUCUCAUUUUUUCAAUACUUCAACAUAUUACUCAUAUGAUGUGUACUUAUCUCUGUUCAGUUGUGAUUGAUUUUUAAUUAGUAAUUACUCUAUACACUUUUUCAUCACAUUCACACUUUUUCAUUUUAUAUUGCACCUCCAUACAUUGUGUUUAGCAUCAAAAUUAAUAUUUCCAUCACUUCCUCACAUACAUGUAUAAAUGGUCUUCAUGGCGAUACUCAUCAUGUCUAUAUACCUUAACUUAGUAUUUCUCUAUUAACAAGAACAUAAACUAGUAACUAGAAUCAUAUAUUAGUUUUUUUGGACAUUUCUGUAUGAUGCACAUGCACAAAGAUAAUUAGAUUAAGAAUUAGGUGUUUACUUUAGAUUAUUUUUAAAAACGACAUACAUGGGUAACUUAGAUACAAACUUAGAAUGUCAUUUUAAGUUAUGCUUUAUAAUGAUAGACAUGAGUAAAUUGGAUGAAGAUUAUGGGCUUACUUUACAUUAUUUUUUAUAAUGGCAGAGCUCGGUAAUUUAGAUAUAGGUUUAGUGUUUAAAUGAUAGUGGUGGGUAACUUUUUAGAAACUAUAAUAUACCAAUGACUAUGAUUAAUAUAGUUUGCAUGAUCGAUAUUUGAUAUUUAUGAUUUUUAUGAGAAUUUCUAGGAUUUGUGUUUUUUAGCGUAUCUCUUCGUGCAGCCGUUGAGUUGUCCACUUAUGAUCCUAGGUAGCUUCACCUGGAGGCUUUAAAAGGAGACUCCAAUUAGUAAUAGUUACUGCAUUUCAUAAGUGAUUUUCAAAGAUAAUUUUUUGAGGCAAUAAAAAAAGUUGUGAUAUCACCUAGGUCUCAAAGAAAGUUGUGAUACCACUCUCCUUUUUGUUUUAUUUUUAUUUUAUUUUUCUGAUUCUCAUGUGUACAGCUUUGCAUGAUCAAGAAAAUUUAGGUAUGGUCUCCUCUCCCGACUUCUUCCUUUAAAAUUUGACAUCGAAGCGUGCGGAUUCUUCAUUUCAGGUGUUUCUUCUCAUUUUUCUUCGUUUUCUUUUCUUUUCCAAUUGUAGCUCAUUUUUCUUUUCAGCCCAUUCUUCUUUAUUUCAGGUGUCCGGAUUCUUUUCUUUUCGUUUUCUUUCCGUAUGCUCCUCUUGACCUUCAAUAUGCUUAACAUGUCAAACAAUAACUUCACGGGACAUAUUCCACCAGAACUUGUUAACUGUUGGCGGUCCUUAAAUACCAUAUCCGACCAUCAAUUCUAAUAAAGAAUAGUGAAAUAACAAAAACCAAACUAGAGAUAGGGGUUUAACUCUAACCAUUUUCACAAGCUUUGGUGAAUCAUUGUUUACAGGAGAUCGCGUCUCCAUACGAGGGAAAACAUGCUCAAACCCAUGAAGAAACACACGCUUCGGCCUAUCCUGAUAGAGCAUGAUACAAGAAGGGCCCACAUGACAUACUGUUGGCGCUAAAGAUCAGCCGAUCGAAUCUCAGCGUCGGACACACGACCCGGGAGAAUCUGCUUAACUCCUAUUCGGGUGAUCGCCCUAGUGCGGUUCGCGCGGCGUGCCAGCCAAUCUGACCUGUUGAUUGGCAAGGAAAGAAACGUGUCAGAUCCCAGAGGUUGCGAUCGGCUAAGGUUCCGAUCUCGAGGAAGCUUGUCAGCGACUCGGCCGAUUUGCUAUAAUAAGGAAAUCGGCUAUAGCGCAGCCGACUACUAGGUAACAUUUGUGAAGAAAGCUAUCAGAGUAAACUAAAAAAACGCUACAAUAGCAACACUUGAAACAGAUCUAAUCGGCUAUGCAAAAGCAGCGGAUAAGCGAUAAAUAUAAGUAAGCCGAAAGCUCUAAUUCCAAGCUAGAUAACUGGUGAUAAAAUUAGAACAGUAGGUAAACCCUAGAAUUCUAGUAAAUAUCGAUAACUGAUGAAUAAAUCUAAACGAAAUGACAGCGAUGCGCCCGAAGUUAAAGCUUAGAUAUUACUCGAUAAACGGAACUUACAGAAUCGUCCGGAGAUCAAGUCGAUGCAGCCCCGCCAACCCGUACGAACUCGUGGAAAGAAGAAAAGUACUGGCGAAGUCGCCGACUUAAAAAUAAAGUACGAGGAAAUAGUAGAUUGUUGUAUUGAUUUGAUGUUGUUUUUUCAGAUCUCUAAAGACGGCUAUUUAUAGCCUGUUACAACCAAUCUCUUAACCGACUAGGACUCUAUCUCUAAUAUUAAACGAAAAUGAAUAUUUACAAGCAUAACUCGUAUCGGAGUUGGUCGCCGCGCUCUUGUGGGCCAAUCCCCCCAUUAUCUUCGUAAUCCACUUUAAGCCCAUACUGGCCCAAUUGCUCCAGCCUCUUAAUCGGCCGAUCUGUACCAACUCCGUCCGCCAAAACACUGCAGCGUCAAUCGGCCAAUCUCCAACUAUAGCACCAAUCGGCCGAUUCCCAAUCGUGACCUUUUCAUCCUGCCGCAUCAGCUAAUCCUUCCCUUUCUUGACGCCGAUUCCAUACGUGUCAAAAAUUGGCGUCAACACAUACCAAAUCGCCUUAUCUUGGCGCGGGCCACCCUAGAUCCACAUGAGGAGCCCACAAGGAUCCACGACCAAAUUUGGGCCCAAACGGAGCCAGUAGGGGCUUGGCCGAACCCAUGGUUCGACCAAUCUGCCACUGGGCCCGAUCAAGCCCAUCUUUCGUGUGGAGUCUCCCACUGCCUUACUCGAGGCGGUUGCGGGAGGUUGGCGCGAAGCAACAAACCUGGACAUGGGAUCCUUCAGGAGUGGAGGGGAUAGAGGGAAUAUUCUAUGGGAUCUUUGGAGCAUAUCCACUCCCCCAAGGCUCCCUCUCCAAUAUAAAAGACCCCUUUGUCUCCAUUCAGCAAACAACAACACACAAGAGAAGAAGAGCUCCACCACUCCAAGGUAAAGGCCUACCUCUGUAGUGCUUAGAAAAUAGGGAGAGAGUGAGAGGUAGUUCGGAGAAGUGCUUAGAAAAAAGUUGUGAUAUCACCUAGACCUCAAAGAAAGUUGUGAUACUACUCUCCUUUUUGUUUUCUUUUUAUUUUUUUCUGAUUCUCAUGAGUACAGCUUUGCAUGAUCAAUAAAAUUUAGGUAUGGUCUCCCCUCCCGACUUCUUCCUUUAAAAUUUGACAUCGAAGCGUGUGGAUUCUUCAUUUCAGGUGUUUCUUCUCAUUUUUCUUCGUUUUCUUUUCUUUUACAAUUGCAGCUCAUUUUUCUUUUCAGCCCAUUCAUCUUUAUUUCAGGUGUGCAGAUUCUUUUCUUCUCCUUUUCUUUCCAUAUGCUCCUCUUGACCUCUUGGUUUUUACUACUACACUAGUGUGAUCAAGAAAUAUCUUGAAGCUUAGUUGUCUAUUAGCUAUACAUGAGUUGUUACCUAGUUGGCAUAUGUGAGUUGUUAUCUAGUUGUCAUAUUUGUUGUGAGUGAGUUGUGUCAGUCUUAUGAGCCUAUAAAUAGAGGCAAGCCUCAAGUUUGUAACUUGGUUUUGAUGUACCCACUACCUUAUGAAUAGGACAUGUUCUACCCUUUAGAUCUUGUACACUAAGGGCUUUGGACUAAACUCUUGCUAUCCAUGGAUUUGGAUUCGACCUUUUGAUCCAUCUUUGACUCUAGAACGAUAUGUAGCUCAGCACGUUGAAGUGGUUCCUUCAACACUUUGUGCUGUUUCUACCUAUUAGCACAUUGGAGAGGUUCCUCCAAUACUUGUGCUAUAUUUAUCUAUUUGUAGCAGCACCGUGGAGCUGUUCCUCCACAUUAGUGUUCUGAACUGCACCGUUGUAAUUCCACCAUAGAAAUAGGGCCAGUUCCGCCAUCAUCCAUUUAUGCACCAUACAUUUGUCAUGCGCUUUCCAGUUUGUAUUCCCAAAAUAGCAGAAUUCUUGAUAUGCUGGUUGUGACAGUAGCAUCAUCUCCAGACCUUUAGCUAACAUAUAUCCUUGCAUAGCUAUUUGUAACAGCUUACUCAGUGUUUGUCGCCACUCGAGAAUUGACCAGUUAAAUGGGCAUGCAGCUACACAAGAGAAAUGACUGCAAUAGUUCUCUUGGUAUGUAAAUACAUCCAUUUCUUGACCAUUAGGUUAACCAGACCGCUCAGCUGUAACCAUCCAUCCAUAUUGCAGGCUUCAUGAUCAAAUAAAAUAGCAUGAAGGUAUGACUGAAACAAACCAAGUCCUCGCCUGUAGCAAACAUCAAAUUGAUUCCCACACUCCAUCCUGAUUUGAAAAUGGAAAGGCCUCACUAUGCACAUGCUCAGUAGGUAAAUUUGUACGCAAGAAGAUUUUAUCUCUGAUGCCAUGGUUCCUAAGACAGCCACUUCACAAUUCUUACCAUUGAUGAUCCUAGAAUCAUAAGAUGCACAUCACUAGUUGAAUGAAGGUAAUCUUUCAACCACUGCUUUCUCACCUUGACUCUAGUAGAAUUGGCAGUCAAUAUGGACCACAGCCAUAAGGAUAUAUUUUGCACUACCAGCAUACUCACACAUGCAUUUCAGUUACUUGACAUUAUUAGAUCUACGAAGUAAUAGUCCUUCACCUAGAACUGUAUGCUGAAAUCGUCAUACCAUACCUCUCACACAUCCAUGUGGUUUGGACUGUGGACUGACCAACACAUCAGCCGCUAUUAGCCAUUGGUGUUUUUGACAGCAUUCUAACUUGAUAGCAACUAAAACUGAAAGCCGGCCAAGGUGCUGGUUGUAUCUCAGCACCACUAUCCAUAAUAUCCAGUUGUAUUGGCGGUGGCCAUGGAUGCUUCAGAAGCUCACCAUCUCUGCUUGGCUGAAUGGCGUCCACAAUAUUGGCCUUAGAUCAUCUGCACUGUGCAAACUCCAUGUAGUAUAGCAUGUGGCAGGAACAGGAGUACCGGCAUUACCCUGAACACCUUGCGGGCAUUGUAGACACCAGUGCCAAUACACAGCAGAAACAUGUCAUCUGUUGGAGCCGGGCUCUCGCUGGUGAUUUGGAAGUUGCAGACGUUGUUGCUGUUGAUUGUGGUGAACAAAGUUGGGGUGGUGACUAGAGGCCUAGAGCACUCAUGGUCGGUAGAACACAAGCAUUGUGGAUAUGACUGGGCGUUGAACACCUGUUGGGCGUCACAGAUUAGCACUCCGUAGUGGUGAUAGAGAUGGCUAGGGCGGCAUCCUGGUAAGAGUAGAGGUGGAGGUAGAGGGAGGUGCCGAGGAUGCGGUCUUGGACACCAGAAUGCAGGUGUCACCGUAAAGGGAAGUCUUUGGACACCUUGUGGGCGCCAUCUCUAGAACGUCGCUGGCCCUGACAGAACGACGCAGAAAGCUGUUGGUGAUGCCGAGGUCAUGGCUCUAGGCACUUGAAAGCAGGUAGCCGCCAUCAAACACCUGGUGGGCGCCACUGGUUGAAGCUCCGUGGCCGUGACGAGAAUGACAAUAGAGGCAUCCUGUGGUGGAAAGGAGGUCAGUGAAGGCACAACUGAGCAUUCCUUUCCUCGAUCAUCCGAUUCAUGUCAUCCCACUUCUGAUCUAGUUCUUCAAGGUUGGCUAGUAUCACAGCACACAUCUCCUCCGUCAUGUUCACUCGUAUUCCAAUGCGGUGCUAGUGGUGGUUUUUUGAUCGAAAUAGUUGUGAACCAAAUGUCACACCCUAGAUGCAACUCACAGAACAAAUUAUCUCCCAACAAUGAACUACGGAAUAUAUAUGGAGUAUACUAGAAUUUGGAUACACAUGGAUGAGGAACUCGCUGGUGUUCUCGAGCCGAAGCUCGCCGCCGCAGAGCCGAUGAGUCCCAAAUCCAGUUCUUCUGUCCCUCACGAUGAUAACGCUGCGCCAGCUACGCUAUCUACGCCAGCUACGCUGCUACGCUGCUAGAAUUAGAGUGAGAUGACCAACACAUUCUGCGCCAGCUACGCUGCAGCGAUGCCCGUUCAUGGGCCUAUCUUAACUACCUUAGCCAUUCGGGCCCAACAAGGAUAAUGUUGGGCUUCCGUACCUGAUGGCCCACAACUUCGGCUUUACUGCACUUAAGAUAAAUAUCAUGUACGGUUCACUGGAGAAGCCCUCCACCAGUUGUAGUUGCUAGUUAGUACAGGUCUUAUCUACAACCCUGCAUUAGCUAUCUCACUCUAAUUUGGCUAGCUGUCAGGACAGUCUGCUUACUCGAAACUUGAGGCAUGUUUCUUUAAUAUAAUUUUCUUUUCUUCUUGGAUGUUUAUAGCGCAUACGUGAUCUUUUGAAGUACUGCUAUAGAGAGGAAGACAAGUUCUUCUCAUUUAACAUCUUUUUUUUAAUUUAUUUUUGUUAAACUUUUAGAUCAAUCGUUUGAAUUCUCCUCAAUAUUUGCUUGCUUCAUGUUCUCUUUGUUUUUGUGCAACAGUAUGAUCUUGGAAUAGGAAUGCUGCAAGACAAUUCAAAUAGAAGGUUAGUUUCAUCAUAUUAUAUGGUUAAAAUUACUUUAAAAUUAUAUGGUUAAAAUUACUUUGUAAUGGUUGACUGUCACUGUUGUUUGCAUUGGCAGAUCAUGGAUGGAAUUCCUGCAAGAGCCAAGCACAAACUGUUGUCAGCGCUUCUCUGUUGAUGUUUCGUUUCUCGUUGCCACCUUUCUUGCAGACCGGUUAGGGUUAGGUUACACCAUCUGCUUCAGGUGAUUUCGGGAAUGUGGAAUGUUUCCUCUUCAUUUGAGAAGAAAGAGAGAGUGUUUUGUUGGAAUAUUACUGGUGCGUAGGUUUAUGCAUGGCUUUUCAGGGCUCAAAUCAAGGGGAAAAAAUAGACUAAUGGGCUGGUAAAUUUAUGUUCUGGUAAAAAUAGACUAAUGGCUUUAUUUAGUUCCACGAAUCCUGGUGAACUCCGGAACUUAAAAUGAAAUCCUAAAAUUGUUUCUCUAACCUCCUAUCUCAAUAUGGGCUGUUCUUUUUUUUUUUCUGGUCAACUAUUUCCCCCAACUUACGGACCCAUCUCGGCCUGCAGGCCUGCCGAGGCCUCUUCUCUCCUUUCGUCGUUCGGUCCCUCUAAUUUCGCUCUUGUGCUUGCGCACCAGGCGCCAUCUCUCACCGCGCCAGGAGCUUUGCAGCGCCAGACGGCCCCGCUCCACACCACAAUAUUCUUCCUUGGAACCUGCGGGCUCCGCUGAGCCGCUGCGUGAUCUUCUAUUCGCGACUCUGUGUACCUCGCCAUGUUACAAUUGCCUUCACUUUACUUCAUCAUUGCUCUCUAACCUAGGUACUCGGUUAUGAACAGCGCGCCGGCUAAGCGAGUACCCGGUGAAGGCGAGCGCAACGAGCCCUAGCACAUGGCAUCCAUCGAAAAUACAGAAUUUUCAGAGUAUGGAAUUUUCAGUCCGCGGUGUGGCCAACAUUAUCUUUAUAUGAUUUUAUUUGCAAACCGAGUUUUUAAGUAACAACGUAAAUAAAACACUCUCGUAUCAUUGCUCUAAAGGGGGAGUAAGGAAUAACAGAAAUAACGUCGUGCCAUUCCCCAGAAACAAAGAACAACUGUAAAAAUUGGUUCUAGAUGAAGCUAAAUUGACCAUCGAUGGCGAUUGUGUCAACACGGCAAACAUCCAUACAGCUAGCAUUGACUGACUUGGCUGAUAAAUCCAGGCCACUUCACUGUUGAGUACUUCAGGAAACUCGACAGGUCUUAUGACAAGUCUCGGUUGACUCGAAUUAUUGACCUUAGGACACUGACCUUGAUUUCCUCAUCCCCUUUCCUAUUGUCUUGCGGUCCAGAUGCCCAUUACCCAGUGCCUACCAGUGUGUGCUUCUCCCUCCGAUUGUACAUACGUGCGGGUCCCACAUAUCAGCCCCUUCCAUCCUCUUUACUUUAUAAUCUCCAAAGCAUGGGCCGCCCUUCUUUGUUACCUGUAUGGCUGUAUCACCUCCCCUGCCGAUGAGUGCCCAUGCAUGCUGAUACUUUGGUACCAUCUGCUCCAACCAAGCACCACCUCUCAUGCAAGUCAACAUAGAUGGUAUUUGGUGUCAAUUCACUGCUUAUAUUUUUAAAUGAAUUUAAUAUAAAUUUUGAUUAUCUAUUGCUUCUAAAUUCAUGUCGAAAUUAAUUUGAUAAUUUUUUAACCUAUAAUAUCCUAUACUUCAUUUUAUGAGGAAACUAUCAGAAAAUGAAUUGUAAUUUUUAUGACUCAUAUCUAUUUGCUCUCUUUAUUAGAUAUUUUGCUUUCCAAUUGUAUGUAAAUCAAACUUUUAUUUUAUUUUUAUCAUUCGGAGUUUUAGUUUUUUUAUUACUUCCAUGUCAAGAUGAUAUUCUGGACAAGAUUCCAAUCAACCUUUUGAAAAUCUAACCACUAUUGACAGCUUUUAGAAUAUUCAGUUUGAAAAUUAGAAUACUCAUUGAAAGACAUAAUAUAAUAUUUUGUAUGUUUAUAUAAUAUCUUCUUACUGAAAAUAGCGGCCACACAGCUAUGUUAUCCAAAACACCUUCUUUUCUUUAAGAACAGGGGAACGAUUGUUUUUUUCCUAUUUUAUUAAUAUGAUAUUUUAUAGUCAAUCCGGAGACUUCUUUUCUCUUAGCUUUGCCUUAUUAAAAUAACAAUUGAAGAUUCCGUAACUAUGGUUGGAGCCAGAUAUUUACUUCCAUGGCCCCAGUUCGCUGGUCUUCCUCUCGAGUCAGCGACCGGAAUGUGUGGUUCAGAGCAACCAGAGAACAGAAUAUCUACACACGAUUGAUUGGAAUUUGGAAACUGCAAACCAGUAGCGCAAUGGCUCCUGCCAAGGAUCGCCUCCACAACCUUCUGGUCCUGCUCUUGUUCAUAGGUUGCCUCUUCAUAGAUGCUGCCGCCAAGCUUAACACCACAGCGCCUUGCCUCCCGGAUCAAGCUUCUUCCCUCCUCCGGCUAAAAGCUUCCUUCAUCGGUGACAACCUACCAUCAUGGCAAGCUGCAACAGAUUGUUGCCACUGGGAGGGCGUCACCUGCGACAUGGCCUUUGGAAGAGUCAUUUCUCUUGACCUCAGUGAGUUCCACCUAAUGAGCAGGCGUCUUGAUCCUGCGCUCUUCAACCUCACCUCUCUCAGGAACCUCAGCCUUGCAUCUGUUGACUUCAGUGGAUAUUUCAUUUCGCUCCCGGCUUUUGGGUUUGAGCGGCUCACGGAUAUCAUUUACCUCAACCUCUCUGAUACCGGUUUUAAGGGUAAGAUCCCAAUUGGAAUUGCGUGCCUCAAGAACCUUGUGACCAUUGACUUGUCUGGUAAUUACAACUUGUAUUUUGAACGGCCAAGUUUCCAAACCAUCAUGGCAAAUAUGAGCAAUCUGAGGGAGCUUUAUCUUGAUGAAGUGGGUUUACAGGACAUCGGAUCGGAUUGGUCCACUGUUUUAGCAGACUCCGUUCCCCAGCUACAGAUUCUUAGUUUGUCCCGCUGUGAUAUAUCAGGUUCUAUCCACCCUUCAUUCUCAAGGCUUCGCUCACUUACAGCGAUCAACCUCGGAUACAAUGAUGGACUCACCGGCGGCAAAGUCCCGGAGUACUUUUCUGAACUAUCUUCCUUGACCAUUUUAGACAUAUCAGGAAAUCAAUUUGAAGGGCAAUUUCCAACAAAAAUAUUCCAGCUAAAAAGUUUGAGGACGCUUGAUUUGUCCUGGAACCCCAUGCUUUCUACGAGAUUAACAUAUUUCCCAGCUGGAAACAAUUUGGAAGUACUAAAUCUAGAAGGGACCAAUUUCUCUUAUGACACGCCAUCCUCGUUUGGUAAUCUCGAGUCUUUACAGACAUUGGGGCUUAGCACGAUGGGCAUUGAUAAUGAACUCGCCUCUUUGAUAUCUGAGCUUCCAGCAUUGGAUGACCUGCAACUCUUUGGGUCAGGUUUGGAGAACCCGGUAUUAUCUUGGGUCAGCAAUCUUACCCAAUUGACAAACCUGCAGCUUGAUGGUUAUGACUUCACUAAAUCGGUUCCCACUUGGAUCGGCAAAUUGACAAGGCUGGAAAGUUUGACGAUAGAGGAUUGCAGUUUCUCCGUGCCAAUACCAUACCAGAUUAGAAAUCUUACUAAAUUGGCAGCGCUGCAGUUCUCAGGUUGCGACUUCGCUGAGCAAAGAAUGCCAUCAUGGAUAGGCAAUCUUACAAAGUUGACUUCUUUGGUCAUUGGUGGUUGCAGUUUAUCUGGGCCAAUACCCUCAACAAUUGGGAACCUGAUCCAACUUGAAGAGUUGAAGUUCUCCUAUACUGACAUCAGCGGUGAGACUAUGUCCCAGUUACUUUCUUUCUAGAUACCUCAUUUUAUUUUGCAACUGUAGACAGACGCUUUAAUUUCUUUAAUUCGCUCUUGCUCCUCAUACUCGAACUAGGAAGCAGGGGAUACCUACUAUAUGACACGUCAUGCAUACACUGUUAAAAAAAAUAAUGAAUUUAAGUGAAGAAGAAAAUUUAACACUACCAAAUCAAUAGAGUGACCUUCAGAAAAAAAGAAAAAGGCUUUGGCUAGUAAUUUUCGGCGCUGUUGAGAAAAGAAAAACCCUGAUAUUUUCACUUUGAGUCUAUGACCAAAUUUUCAUAGUUUCACAGUUUGGAAGGUUAGAUGCCUUUAACACUAGUACACACGAGUCACGACUCAGGUCUUCUUUUCCUUCUUUUUUUUCUCUCUUGACAUGAUUCAUUUCAGAUACCAUAAUACAGUAUUGGUCCAUUUAUAAAUAUACCAAGGAAUAUUAAUUUUUUCGGACAGGCCUUUUUUAUUAUUUUGAUCAGAUUUACAUGUAAAUGUUCUCUAACAAGAAAUCAACUUUAGUAUAUAUCAUUUGUAGAUCGAAACACUGGAUCUGUAAAAUAUAUAUUGAAUAUGUUGUGUUAACGUUGUUCAACUUUCUCCGGUCUAAGGCCUCUUUGAAACAAAGGAACAACAAAAGAACUAUUGAAAAACCUGAGCGUGGUCUCUCUCUCCCUCUCUUUCUCUCUCAAACCUGAGCGUGGUCUGGAUUUUCUACUGAUUUGUGAAGGAAGAGGACCCUUUCUUUCUUGUGGAAUUGGAAUUGGAUGGUGCAUUCCCAAAUUCCAAAAUCCAAACGGUACUUUCCUUUCCUCCGGAACGCAGUUACUUUAGUGUCCUUGCCCCCUGUCAGUUUCGUCGCUUUUUUAGGCUAGUCUCAAUGCACAACUUCAUUGCAUUGUUACCAAAACUGCAAACUUGGUAACUGUGCCUGUUGGAUUUCAUGGGAAUGAAACUCCUCUCCCAUUUCAUGAAACUCCAUCCUCUCUCCUCAUAAAGACUUUGCCAAAUCAGCAAAAUUGCUGAUGUGGUAUAGAAAUUAAUGCUGAUGAAACUUUUUAUAAAACUUUCACUGAGACUAGCCUUAGAUUGCAGCAACAUUCGGAUAUGUUUAGCUCCAAUGUAAUGAGAUGCUAAUUUGGUUCAAUUUCAUACUAGCACUUUCAGUGUGAAAAAACAUUAAUAAAGUCUGCAACAUUCUGACUGUUGGUAUUCUACCCUAACAUGCAGGAAAAAUUCCGAAGUCUUUGUUCACUCUUCCAGGCCUGCAGCAUCUUCAUCUAAUUAAGAAUCAGCUUGUUGGCUCACUAGAAGACAUUCCUGCUCCUUUAUCGUCACCAUUGCGGGAGAUUGAUUUAGGAGGUAAUCAAUUGACAGGCCCAAUACCAAAAUCACUUUUUCAGCUCACGAAUCUUGAGCGUCUCAGUCUUGAAUCGAAUAAAUUGACAGGCACAAUAGAACUUGGCUCUAUAUGGAGGUUGAAAAAUCUCACUUAUCUUAACCUGGGUAACAAUUUGAUAUCACUCGUAGAAAAAGAAGGUGAUAUGAUAUUCUCUUAUUCCCUUAAAAUCCAAGAGUUAUACCUUCCAUCUUGCAACCUUACAAAAUUUCCGGAAUCAUUAAAAUAUCUUGACACUAUUCAAGUUCUCGACCUUUCUAAUAACCAAAUCGAAGGGGCCAUACCUAGUUGGGUGUGGGAGAAUCCCCUUGUUGAGUUGGAGCUCUCACGCAACAUGUUUACUACUUUAGAGAAGUCUCCUGCUGUUCAGAUGACACAUUUAGUUUUUCUUAAUCUCAGUGUUAAUAGAAUUCAAGGAAGCAUACCAAUACCAUCAACUCCAUCCGACCUGGUUCUGUUGGAUUACUCAAAUAAUGAUUUCUCUACCAUUGAACCUAACUUUGGCAGGUAUCUUAGAAAUGCCAUCUACAUCAAUUUGUCAAAAAAUAAAUUAAGUGGCCAUGUACCACUUUCAUUUUGUAGUUUAAGCCAACUUGAGCUCAUGGACUUAUCUUACAAUAACUUUAGUGGACCAAUUCCAUCAUGUCUUAUGGAAAGAGUUGACCUGAGCAUAUUGAAGUUAAGAGGAAACAAAUUACAUGGCGUGCUACCUGAAAAUAUUAGAGAAGGAUGUAAGCUUCAGACAAUUGAUUUCAAUGAAAAUCAAAUUGAAGGUGCGCUACCUAGAUCACUAGCAAAUUGCCAAGACUUAGAGGUUCUUGAUGUUGGCAGUAAUCAUAUUGUAGAUUCAUUUCCAUCAUGGAUGGGUACUCUUCCAAAGCUUCGAAUUCUUGUGUUGAGAUCUAACCAACUGUAUGGCACUAUAAGGGAUCUUCGCAGUGGCUACCAACACUUCACAAGUUUGCAAAUAGUUGAUUUGGCCUCCAACCAUUUCUCUGGUGUCUUACAUUCUGAAUGGUUUGAGAAUUUUAUUUCAAUGAUGAAUAACAACAAUGAUGAGGGGCAGAUAUUAGAGCACGAAACAAAUGCAUCACGGGCACCAUUGUAUCAAGAUACUGUCACUAUCACAUUCAAAGAUGCUGAUUUAAGCAUCACCAAAAUCCUUACUACUUUCAAAGUAAUUGAUUUGUCAAAUAACUCAUUUGAGGGUUCCAUUCCAAGUUCAAUUGGAAGGCUUGCUUCACUUCACGGACUUAACAUGUCGCACAAUAACUUCACGGGAGAAAUUCCAUCACAACUUGGGAGGUUAACAAGGUUGGAAUCAAUAGAUCUCUCUUGCAACAAUCUCUCGGGAGAAAUUCCACAGGAGUUUACCUCCCUAACUUCUCUUUCCUGGUUGAACCUUUCGUAUAACAACUUGACGGGAAGAAUACCGCAGGGAAACCAAUUCUUGUCAUUUCCCAGCAGUUCGUUUGAAGGCAAUGCUGGUCUAUGUGGAAUUCAGCUUUCCAAGGAAUGUGACACUCGUCCAGAUUCAACCACCCCAAGCACAUUGGCUCCACAACGCAAUACUUUGUGGCAGGAUAGACUUGAUGCCAUCAUUUUGUUCCUCUGUGCUGGCUUGGGCUUUGGCGUGGGUUUUGCAUUGGCAAUCAUAUUCGGUCCCUUUUACCACAUAGAAGAAUGGCUUUGCAAGCAUUUGUAAUAGUAAUAUAAGUUUUCAACAAGAAUAAUUAUGUAUGUUUGUCUUGUUCUCGUUAUUAGAUGAGACAUUUUAAAUCCACUCAGUUGUAAUUACGUUGUAACUAGUCCAUCAACCCGUACUUCCACAUGAGCUAGUAUUUUCAAAAGCUGUUGUAUUUGAAAAUUAUUUAGAAAUUAAACACCUUGCUAAUAAUCAAAAUUAUUUACUUAUUACUCUCUCAUUUUUCAACACUUCAACGUAGUACUCAAAUAGAUGUGUACUUAUUUUUAUCCAGUUGUGAUUGAUUUUUAAUUAGUAAUUACUCUAUACACUUUUUCAUCCACAUUCACACUUUUUUAUUUUAUAUCACACCUCCAUAAAUUGUGUUUAGCAUCAAAAUUAAUAUUUUUCAUCACUUCCUCACAUACAUGUAUAAAUGGUCUACAUGGUGUCAUUCAUCAUGUCUAUAUACCUUAAUUUAAUAUUUCUAUAUUAACAAUGACAUAAACUGGUAAUUUAAAAUCAUAUAUUAGUUUAUUUUUGGAUAUUUCUGUAUGAUGCACAUGCAUGAAGAUAAUUAAAUUAAGAAUUAUCUGUUUACUUUAGAUUAUUUUUAAAAACGACGUACAUGGGUAACUUAGAUACAAAUUUAGAAUGACAUUUUAAGUUAUGCUUUAUAACGAUAGUCAUGAUUAAAUUGGAUGAAGAUUAUGGGUUACUUUACAUUAUCUUUUAUAAUGGCAGGUAAAUUAGAUAUAGGUUUAGGGUUUAUAAUGAUAGUGGUGGGUAAGUUUUUAGAAAAUAUAAUAGACCAAUGACUAUGAUUAAUAUAGUUUGCAUGAUUGAUAUUUGAUAUUUAUGAUUAUUGUGAGAAUUUCUAGGAUUUGUGUUUUUUAGCGUAUCUCUUGAGAACUAAUGCAGAGUCUCCAAUGAAAAAAAAAUAAGGCCACAUCGCUAAAAAAAUUACCUUGAGCUAUUUCUCAUUUAUUAAAUAUUGAAACACAAUAGUUAUAUAGAUAUAUAAUUAUGAUCGAUAGAUUUUAAUUGGUAAUUUCUCUUCAACAUUUUCAUCCACAUUUGUAUUGAAGAUAUGCGCUUGAAUUUGUUUAAUGGAUCUUAAGUUUGAGCUAUCAUUUUAACAUAGAAAUUUGUAUUUCCAUCACUUUCUCUAUAUCUUUAUGAAUGGUGACACACAUCAUGCCUAUAUACCUUAAUUAUUAUAUCGUAUACCUACAGCGUAAGAAAUAGACGAUUUAAUAUCGUAUUUUGAUGUAUAUUUUUAUUUAAGGUGAUUUGGAUUCAAAUGUAGUUUACCUCAUGUUAUUUCUAAAUAGCAUAUGUGGGUAAUAAAGAUGCAAAUUUAAGGGGUCAUGUUAACUUAUUUUUUAAGUAUUAGUGGUGGGAUAUUUAGUUGCAAAUUUAGGGGGUUAUUUUAAAUGUUAUUUAUAAUGGUAUAAGUGGGUAACUUUGAUAAAGAUUAGGUGGUUACUUUAGUUUAGUUUAUAUAAUGGUAGAGGUGGGUAAUUUAGAUAUAGACUAGCAAAAUAUCGUGCGUUGCUACGGUAAAAGAUCAAUUCUAAUGAUAUUUUUUAUUUCCAUCACUAAAUUUUUAUUCCACUUAUUGGACGUCUACACAUUUAAUAGAAAACUAAAAGAAUUUUGACUUAAUUAUUUCCUUCAACUCAAAUACCCAUUACAUUAAAAUAUUUUUUAUUCAAGCAAGAGAGUUAAAUCAGCCUCAUAUGGCCACCGAUGGGGCUCUUUAGUCCUUCUAGCCAUGUAAUAUCUUUUCACAUGUAUUUCAUCAAACAGGAGACGGCACGCUCAAACUUUUCCAUCAUGCACAUCCCGUUGUAGGUACGGUGGCUUAGGUUACACCUUAUUUGGAUGGGCUAUAACUACCUUUUAAAUGGUUAAUUAGGGGGUGUUUAGUAGCACUCAACUUCAAUUUUUUUAGCUCCACUCUACCAACUCCACUCCAGUUUAAUUUUUUUAGCUCCACUCCACUUCAACUCCACUCUACCAACUUGAGAAAAAUAAUAAAGUUGUCUACGUACUUGGCAGAAACAUGCCGUGCCCCCCCCCCCCCCCCCCCCCCCGCAAUAGCAAACCAACAGGCUGCCUUCUUCACCGGUCAAGCAAGCUGCUUGCUCCUCUCUCAAAUCCGAACAACAGUGCAACGCCCGAACAACAGUGCAACGACGGGCGGAGAGCCUGGCGCGAGCGGAGCAGCAGCCUAACCCUGGCCAUGACCUCCACCCCGACGAUCCAAGCAGCAGCAGCGUGGCCCCUGCUCCGGCCCCGACCCCAGCGAGGUGACCCAACCGUGGAGGGCAGGGGCGGCGCGGCCACGGUGGGACCUCCCCUGGUCGCCUCGGCGGGCAAGAGGAUCCUGAAGCCCUAAAACGUGCCGAAAGCAGUUACCUGAGACACUGUUACAGUAACCUUUGGGGGUGGAGCAUCACAGCAAUACAGCACAGAGUAAAAUCUCUGAGGAUUCCAUGCUUUUUGCGACAGCAACUCUCGUUAGUACGUACAGGCAAGUGAUGCAAAACAUGGCAUAACUACAUCUAAAGCAUUAUCUGCUCUUUACAUGCUGAUUUUAACUCUGUACAGCAAGGAAACGGGAGCAUUUUUUUCCCCUGAAAAUCUGUAUAGUUCUGAAGUGUUGUACAUCUUCGUAAAAGAUUAAUUGAAAAAUGAUAUAGCACAACAUACAACCACACUUGCUAAUUCAAACGACACGAAGCAACACCUCAUAUAGAUCCAAUUCCAACAAAUAUAAGCAGAACAUAUGUCCCAUUUUCCAUCAAACAAGUUUUGUACAAAAGUUCUAUAAGCGGAUUAGCACCACCUCAUAUCUUUUUUACAGUAUACAACCAUAAGAAAAAUAGAAAAAUAAGAGUCGCCAGAUUUCUGUGGCAUGCGAGUGCGAUAGGGUAGCUGAGGUCACCUAUACGAGGGGCGAUAGGGGGAUCUGCUACGGAUGGGGCUUGGACUUCGGUCCCUGCAGCCCCUCCGGCCGCGGUACCGCGCGGGGGGUGGCGACCGCGACAGGUCGCGCGGCAUCGCGCGCGACGAGAUCUAGAGCCUCCGCGGAGCCCGGAACCCCACGGAUCUGGCCGAGACCCGACGAUCGGAGAGGCACGGUGGUUGAAAGGAGGUCAGUGAAGGGGGGUUGAAGAUGCCGGUAGCUCAGCACAGUGGCACAACUGAGCAUUCCUUUCCUCAAUCUCCCGAUUCAUGUCAUCCCACUUCUGAUCUAGUUCCUCGAGCUUGGCCAGUAUCACAGCACACAUCUCCUCCGUCAUGUUCACUCGUGUUCCGAUGCGGUGGUAGUGGUGGUUUUUUGAUCGAAAUAGUUGUGAACCAAAUGUCACACCCUAGAUGCAACUCACAGAACAAAUUAUCCCCCAACGAUGAACUACGGAAUAUAUAUAUGAAGUAUACUAGAAUUUGGAUACACAUGGAUGAGGAACUCGCUAGUGUUCUCGAGCCGAAGCUUGCCACCGCAGAGCCAAUGAGUCCCAAAUCCAGUUCUUCUUUCCCUCACGACGACUUUUUAAUCCUCUUACAUGCUGCGCCAGCUAUGCUGCAGCGAUGCCCGUUCAUGGGCCUAUCUUAACUACCUUAGCCAUUCGGGCCCAACAAGGAUAAUGUUGGGCUUCCGUACCUGAUGGCCCACAACUUCGGCUUUACUGCACUUUAGAUAAAUAUCAUGUACGGUUCACUAGAGAAGCCUCCACCAGUGAUAGUUGCUAGUUAGUACAGGUCUUAUCUACAACCUUGCAUUAGCUAUCUCACUCUAGUUUGGCUAGCUGUCUGCUUACUCGAAGCUUGAGGCAUGUUUCUUUAAUAUAGUUUUCUUUUCUUCUUGGAUGUUUAUAGCACAUACGUGAUCUUUUGAAGUACUGCUAUAGAGAGGAAGACAAGUUCUUCUCAUUUAACAUCUUUUUUUUUUCAAUUUAUUUUUGUUAAACUUUUAGAUCAAUCGUUUGAAUUCUCCUCAAUAUUUGCUUGCUUCAUGUUCUCUUUGUUUUUGUGCAACAGUAUGAUCUUGGAAUAGGAAUGCUGCAAGACAAUUCAAAUAGAAGGUUAGUUUCAUCAUAUUAUAUGGUUAAAAUUACUUUAAAAUUAUAUGGUUAAAAUUACUUUGUAAUGGUUGACUGUCACUGUUGUUUGCAUUGGCAGAUCAUGGAUGGAAUUCCUGCAAGAGCCAAGCACAAACUGUUGUCAGCGCUUCUCUGUUGAUGUUUCGUUUCUCGUUACCACCUUUCUUGCAGACCGGUUAGGGUUAGGUUACACCAUCUGCUUCAGGUGAUUUCGGGAAUGUGGAAUGUUUCCUCUUCAUUUGAGAAGAAAGAGAGAGUGUUUUGUUCGAAUAUUACAGGUGCGUAUGUUUAUGCAUGGCUUUUCAGGGCUCAAAUCAAGGGGAAAAAAUAGACUAAUGGGCUGGUAAAUUUAUGUUCUGGUAAAAAUAGACUAAUGGCUUUAUUUAGUUCCAAGAAUCCUGGUGAACUCCGGAACUUAAAAUGAAAUCCUAAAAUUGUUUCUCUAACCUCCUAUCUCAAUAUGGGCUGUUCUUUUUUUUUUUCUUUCUGGUCAACUAUUUCCCCCAACUUACGGACCCAUCUCGGCCUGCAGGCCUGCCGAGGCCUCUUCUCUCCUUUCGUCGUUCGGUCCCUCUAAUUUCGCUCUUGUGCUUGCGCACCAGGCGCCAUCUCUCACCGCGCCAGGAGCUUUGCAGCGCCAGACGGCCCCGCUCCACACCACAAUAUUCUUCCUUGGAACCUGCGGGCUCCGCUGAGCCGCUGCGUGAUCUUCUAUUCGCGACUCUGUGUACCUCGCCGUGUUACAAUUGCCUUCACUUUACUUCAUCAUUGCUCUCUAACCUAGGUACUCGGUUAUGAACAGCGCGCCGGCUAAGCGAGUACCCGGUGAAGGCGAGCGCAACGAGCCCUAGCACAUGGCAUCCAUCGAAAACUACAUAAUUUUCAGAGUAUGGAAUUUUCAGUCCGCGGUGUGGCCAACAUUAUCUUUAUAUGAUUAUAUUUGCAAACAGAGUUUUUAAGUAACAACGCAAAUAAAACACUCUCGUGUCAUUGCUCUAAAGGGGGAGAAAGGAAUAACAGAAACAACACCGUGCCAUUCCCCAGAAACAAAGAACAACGGUAAAAGUGGUUCUAGAUGAAGCUUAAAUUGACCAUCGAUGGCGAUUGUAUCGACACGGCAAACAUCCAGACAGCUAGCAUUGACUGACUUGGCCUAUUGAGUACUCCGCGGAACUCGGUACGUCUUAUGACAAGUCUCGUUUGACUCGAAUUAUUGACCUUCACUGUCCUUCGUCAUUGCUCUCUAACCUAGGUACUCGGUUAUGAACAACGUGCCGGCUAAGUGAGUACUCGGUGAAGGCGAGCCCAACUUGCCCCAGCACAUCGCAUCCAUCGAAAAUACAGAAUUUCCAAAGUAUGGAAUUUUCAGUGUGCGUUGUGGCCAACACUAUCUUUAUAUGUUUUAUUUGCAAACCGAGUUUUUAAGUAACAACGCAAAUAAAACACUCUCGUAUCAUUGCUCUAAAGGGGGAGUAAGGAAUAACAGAAAUAACGUCGUGCCAUUCCCCGGAAACAAAGAACAACCGUAAAAAUUGGUUCUAGAUGAAGCUAAAUUGAUCAUCGAUGGCGAUUGUAUCGACACGGCAAACAUCCAGACAGCUAGCAUUGACUGACUUGGCUGAUACAUCCACUUCACUGUUGAGUACUCCAGGGAACUCGACAGGUCUUAUGACAAGUCUCGGUUGACUCGAAUUGUUGACCUUAGGACAGUGACCUUGAUUUCCUCAUCCCCUUUCCUAUUGUCUUGCGGUCCUGAUGCCCAUUACCCAGUGCCUACCAGUGUGUGCUUCUCCCUCCGAUUGUACAUACGUGCGGGUCCCACAUGUCAGCCCCUUCCAUCCUCUUUACUUUAUAAUCUCCAAAGCAUGGGCCGCCCUUCUUUGUUACCUGUAUGGCUGUAUCACCUCCCCUGCCGAUGAGUGCCCAUGCAUGCUGAUACUUUGGUACCAUCUGCUCCAACCAAGCACCACCUCUCAUGCAAGUCAACAUAGAUGGUAUUUGGUGUCAAUUCACUGGUUAUAUUUUUAAAUGAAUUUAAUAUAAAUUUUGAUUAUCUAUUGCUUCUAAAUUCCUGUCGAAAUUAAUUUGAUAAUUUUUUAACCUAUAAUAUCCUAUACUUCAUUUUAUGAGGAAACUAUCAGAAAAUGAAUUGUAAUUUUUAUGACUCAUAUCUAUUUCCUCUCUUUAUUAGAUAUUUUGCUUUCCAAUUGUAUGUAAUCAAACUUUUAUUUAUUUUUAUCAUUCGGAGUUUUAGUUUUUUAUUACUUCCAUGUCAAGAUGAUAUUCUGGACAAGAUUCCAAUCAACCUUUUGAAAAUCUAACCACUAUUGACAGCUUUUAGAAUAUUCAGUUUGAAAAUUUAGAAUACUCAUUGAAAGACAUAAUAUAAUAUUUUGUAUGUUUAUAUAAUAUCUUCUUACUGAAAAUAGUGGCCACACAGCUAUGUUAUCCAAAACACCACCUUUUCUUUAAGAACGGGGGAACGAUUGUUUUUUUUCUAUUUUAUUAAUAUGAUAUUUUAUAGUCAAUCCGGAGACUUGUUUUCUCUUAGCUUUGCCUUAUUAAAAUAACAAUUGAAGAUUCCGUAAUGUGUGGUUCAGAUAUUUACUUCCAUGCGAGUUUAUAUUUUGGCUCCAGUUCGCUGGUCUUCCUCUCGAGUCAGCGACCGGAACGAGAGAACAGAAUAUCUACACACGAUUGAUUGGAAUUUGGAAACUGCAAACCAGUAGCGCAAUGGCUCCUGCCAUGGAUCGCCUCCACAACCUUCUGGUCCUGCUCUUGUUCAUAGGUUGCCUCUUCAUAGAUGCUGCCGCCAAGCUUAACACCACAGCGCCUUGCCUCCCGGAUCAAGCUUCUUCCCUCCUCCGGCUAAAAGCUUCCUUCAUCGGUGACAACCUACCAUCAUGGCAAGCUGCAACAGAUUGUUGCCACUGGGAGGGCGUCACCUGCGACAUGGCCUUUGGAAGAGUCAUUUCUCUUGACCUCAGUGAGUUCCACCACCUAAUGAGCAGUCGUCUUGAUCCUGCGCUCUUCAACCUCACCUCUCUCAGGAACCUCAGCCUUGCAUCUGUUGACUUCAGAGGAGUCUCGCUCCCGGCUUUUGGGUUUGAGCGGCUCACGGAUAUCAUUUACCUCAACCUCUCUGAUACCGGUUUUAUGGGUAAGAUCCCAAUUGGAAUUGCGUGCCUCAAGAACCUUGUGACCAUUGACUUGUCUUAUAAUUACGAAUUGUAUUUUGAACGGCCAAGUUUCCAAACCAUCAUGGCAAAUAUGAGCAAUCUGAGGGAGCUUUAUCUUGAUGAAGUGGGUUUACAGAACAUCGGAUCGGAUUGGUCCACUGUUUUAGCAGACUCCGUUCCCCAGCUACAGAUUCUUAGCUUG
rnacentral:lncRNA from 1 species